AAUUUUUUUAGGAUUUGUUCUCUGUGUGGACGUAGCCGGAGGUAGGGGAAGGGAGUGGCGGCGGUAGGGGAACGGGGCGGAGGGGGACAAGGAAGCUGCUACGGGGGAGGGAACGGUGAAAGAGGUAUGCAGCCCCGACGUGUGACGCAGAAGCGGUAGGAGGAGCGCAGCCCCUGCGUGUACCGUAGGAACGGUAGGAGGAGCGCAGCCCUUUCCACGGCGGCGGCGGCAAGGAGGCGCGCUGAACUCUACGGCUCCGGCGGCAAGAAGGAGGCGUGUCGGUCCCUGCUGCGUUCAUGGCUGAAGGGGCAGGAGUCGACGUAGUCAAGUCAUCAUGCGGGGGACGGGAACGAGUAGGAACAAACAAGGAGCGGCUGCCACGGUUGGCCGUGUAUCGUCGGCUGACCAGAGUCGGGCUCCGUGGCUGGCUGCGUCGGGCGUCGCCGGUUGGUCGCGGAGUCGGGGUCUCCUUUACUCGUUGAAGAGAGUUGGAGAGGUUUUAGCGCUCAGGGAUGGUCACAAACUAAACGCUCAACACGACGACUAAACAGAGCUCACGAGUAUACAGAACUAUUUUAACGGUAAAAAGUACCUGUAAUAAACGUUAACUACACUCAGAACGAAAAAAAUAUCUUCUCUAAACGUCCACAUCACUAUAUUCAUGAUGAUGUACUACCCUUUUGUGGUACGUUCUGUUACGUCACUUUAUUUACGUCCUAAGAAGAUGAGUUUGUGACUUGUUCCUCUUUUAAUUUCUACCAAAGAAGGCUCUCUGCAGUACAACUACUUGUACAGUUAUUCUAGUAACUUGACUUUUUAUUCUAGUGCUUCCAUUUAACUCCUACUUACCGAGUCUACAACUAACGUUCCAAUUGUUACCCCGAUGAUGUUCUAUUAACCUUAAGGUAAAGUCCUAGUUUUUUUAAUCUUACAGUAAAAAUCCUAGUUACAAAGUUUGUAAUAUCAACUAACGUUCCAGUUCUUAACCCGAUGACUAUCUAACAAAGUGGAGAACAUUAAAAACCUA
rnacentral:rRNA from 1 species